rnacentral:tRNA from 1 species
GCCUGGGUGGCUCAGUCAGUUAAGCGUCUGACUUUGGCUCAGGUCAUAAUCUCACGGUUUGUGAGUUCAAGCCCCACAUCAGGCU